AGCAGAAGCAGUGAAUAUUCCCUGGAAAAUGUUAAACAAAUUUUAUUACAGCCCCACAUUUGGUGUUUUAUCCCCGCAAGCUUCCAUAGCAAUACCGUAGCUAAUACAUAGAUUUAUUUUUUUCUCAUUUUUACAUUAAGGCUACAGUUAUAAAUAUGUCAUUGAUGGGUUGACCAGUACAACAGAGGUACGGUAACACUUAAU